rnacentral:rRNA from 1 species
AACGAACGCUGGCGGCAUGCCUAACACAUGCAAGUCGAACGAACCCUUCGGGGUUAGUGGCGCACGGGUGCGUAACGCGUGGGAAUCUGCCCUUUGCUUCGGAAUAACAGUUAGAAAUGACUGCUAAUACCGGAUGAUGUCUUCGGACCAAAGAUUUAUCGGCAAGGGAUGAGCCCGCGUAGGAUUAGGUAGUUGGUGGGGUAAAGGCCUACCAAGCCGACGAUCUUUAGCUGGUCUGAGAGGAUGAUCAGCCACACUGGGACUGAGACACGGCCCAGACUCCUACGGGAGGCAGCAGUGGGGAAUAUUGGACAAUGGGCGCAAGCCUGAUCCAGCAAUGCCGCGUGAGUGAUGAAGGCCUUCGGGUCGUAAAGCUCUUUUACCAGGGAUGAUAAUGACAGUACCUGGAGAAUAAGCUCCGGCUAACUCCGUGCCAGCCGCCGCCAUAAUAC